rnacentral:ncRNA from 2 species
GAUCAAGAAGUUCAACCACAAGCCCCUUGGCUGGUUGGCUGGCAACCGCGUGACGAACACGGUGCCCCCAAGGGAAGAUCGGCCUUCUGUUGCACAAGCCCAGAAGGAAGCUCGUUUC